AGCCAGAAGAUGGUAUUUUUGGUUUAACCUGCCCAAUGUGUUAAUGAAUGGCCGCGGUACUCUGACCGUGCUAAGGUAGCGUAAUCAGUUGGCUUUUAAAUGGAGUCAGGUAUGAAUGGAAGAACCUGGUUUAGCUGUCUCCGAAUUAUUCGAUUGAAUUUACUGUUUAAGUGAAAAAGCUUAAUUAAUAAAAAGGGACGAGAAGACCCUUAGAAUUUUAUUUAAAAAGAUUUAGCUUUGUGAUUUUGUUGGGGCGACAGAGAAAAAUUUUAAACUUUCCGUGUAGUGACAAGCCGAAUUUUAAGUAAGAAUAAAUUACCUGAGGGAUAACAGCAUAAUUCUAAAAUUGAGUUUGUGACCUCGAUGUUGGACUAGGAAACUAGCAGAUUAGCCGUUUGUUGUGUUGGUUCUGUUCGAACUUUAA
rnacentral:rRNA from 1 species